UAGAGGGGAAGUGGGACCUGGGUCGCAGGGCGUGGGAGGCGGGGCUUCCUGUGGAGGCGGGGCUGCUGGUGGUAGGGGCCCAGAGCGUGCGUCGCCCCGAGGACCUUCCCGCCAGGGGCCAGGCUGCACUGCGGAGGCGGCGGCGGCGGCUCGCCGGAGGGGCGGGGAGGCUGCGCGACUGGGCCUCACGUCACCGGGCGCUCGACCCCGCCCCGCUGUGGCUGCAGCUGCGGAGCCGGAGAGCCGGCACCGCGGCCGCCUGGGCUGGGAACGCAGCGCGUGCGGCCAUGGCCUCCAGCGCUGGGCUAAGCGGGCGCAGGGUGCGGGGGCGGCGGGAGGGCAGCCCCGGGCCCCCGCUGCAGCGUUCGGCUGACCGGCUGCCCCUCGUCUCGUCCCACAGAGGCGGACCCUAGACAGAGGCUGCUGGGCACCAUCAAGAAGGAGGAAUCAGAACUUCCAUUUCCUGGGGGCUACUCUGUGCCGUACCCUGUGCGUACAGGUAACUUUCUGAGGAGCAGAUAAGAAUGCUGAAGAAGACUCUAUAACCAGA